rnacentral:rRNA from 1 species
GAGACAGCAGUCGCCGCGGUAAUGCGUAGGUCCCGAGCGUUGUCCGGAUUUAUUGGGCGUAAAGCGAGCGCAGGCGGUUAGAUAAGUCUGAAGUUAAAGGCUGUGGCUUAACCAUAGUACGCUCUGGAAACUGUUUAACUUGAGUGCAAGAGGGGAGAGUGGAAUUCCAUGUGUAGCGGUGAAAUGCGUAGAUAUAUGGAGGAACACCGGUGGCGAAAGCGGCUCUCUGGCUUGCAACUGACGCUGAGGCUCGAGAGCGUGGGGAGCAAACAGGAUUAGAGACCCCGGUAGUCCCUGUCUCUUAUACA